rnacentral:rRNA from 1 species
AGAAUCAACGCUGGCGGCGUGCCUAACACAUGCAAGUCGCACGAGAAAGGGGAGCAAUCCCUAAGUAAAGUGGCGCACGGGUGAGUAACACGUGAAUCAUCUACCUCCGAGUGGGGAAUAACCUAGAGAAAUCUGGGCUAAUACCGCAUAACACUUACGAGUCAAAGCAGCAAUGCGCUUGGAGAGGAGUUCGCGGCCGAUUAGCUAGUUGGCGGGGUAAUGGCCCACCAAGGCGAUGAUCGGUAUCCGGCCUGAGAGGGCGCACGGACACACUGGAACUGAAACACGGCCCAGACUCCUACGGGAGGCAGCAGUGGGGAAUUUUGCGCAAUGGGGGAAACCCUGACGCAGCAACGCCGCGUGGAGGAUGAAGUAUCUUGGUACGUAAACUCCUUUCGAUGGGGAAGAUAAUGACGGUACCCAUAGAAGAAGCCCGGCUAACUUCGCGCCAGCAGCCGC